rnacentral:rRNA from 1 species
GUAGGGAAUAUUGGGCAAUGGAAGCAAUUCUGACCCAGCCAUGCCGCGUGAAGGAAUACAGCCCUAUGGGUUUUAAACUUCUUUUAUUAUAGAGUAAACGGAGGUACGUGUACCUCCCUGCAAGUAUAUGAUGAAUAAGGAUCGGCUAACUCCGUGCCAGCAACCGCGGUAAUACGGAGGAUCCAAGCGUUAUCCGGAUUUAUUGGGUUUAAAGGGUUCGCAGGCGGAUCAAUAAGUCAGGGGUGAAAAAUUUCAGCUUAACUGGAAUCGUGCCUUUGAUACUGUUGGACUAGAGUAUAAGUGACGUGACUGGAAUGUGAUGUGUAGCGGUGAAAUGCUUAGAUAUGUCACAGAACGCCAAUCGUGAAGACAGGUCACGAAAUUAUUACUGACGCUCAUGCACGAAAGCGUGGGGAUCAAACAGGAUUAGAUACCCUUGUAGUCC